UCUUGAAUUGUUGCCAGAGCCCAAGUUUGCUGAGAUAUUAUAAAUAUGAACGAUGAUGGACUGGUCAUCUGUCCAUGGUGUCUCCUUGCCUUCCAUCCAGUGCAUGAUGGGAAGGGCUCAAGGGCAGACAAGCAAGCUAUAAGAAUACAAAUAAAAAGAAAAGUUCCACUAAAUCGUGAGCGGAUCUGUUCCAGCUAUAAGGAGCAGCCUAAGGCCGGAGUUGUGUCCAUGCUCUUACUAACCAGGACUAUCACAGCUGCUGCCUGUUUGUGAGCCUCCUGCAUGCCUGGCCCCUCUGGAUUAGCUGGCUUGUUUGGACAGCCUUCUCCUGCCAGACUCUUGAGCUUCCUCGCACAGCGAAUGCUUUAAUUCCCUGUACUACUGCUUAGUUAUUUACUAUUGUGUCAUUACUAAUUAACAAUAAACUUAAUUAUCAC